UUGUGAGAUAGAGGUUGCGUGAUUCAUAAGUAGGUUAUCGGAUGUGGCAGGCACAGAAGAAGAUAAUGGAAAGGGAAGAACGCCGAAAGGACUGGUUUCCUGUUAGAUUGGUUCUUGGGCAUAUGAUGAAGAAUCAUAUGACUGUCAUCUUGUUAUUAAACAGAUGGGGCGCUAUCAAGAUU
rnacentral:ncRNA from 2 species